rnacentral:ncRNA from 2 species
CUCUUAUUCAGAGUGAUGGAGAUACAUAGGAUCUGUGAAGUCACGGCAACCCCUGUUUGGAAGGUGCCAACCUGAGCGAGUUAAUCGAACAAUAAGGG